CAGCAGGAAAAUGGUGCAUUGUAUCUUCUAUCCACAAAUGACAAAACGAUAAAGUUUUGGAAGGUCCAAGAAAAGAAGGUAAAAAAGCUAUCUGAGAUGAAUUUGGACCGUUCAGCUGCUCCUGCAAAUGGUAGUCCUGGUGGCGUGGGAUAUCUGAGCCCAUCUCUCUCAAAUGGCAAUGCUCUAAAACCUGGCAGGCUUCCUUUGCUUCGCCUGCCUGUGGUAGUUACAAGCCAAGAAA